GAUGAACGCUAGCGGCAGGCCUAACACAUGCAAGUCGAGGGGCAGCACAGAAACAGCAAUGUUUUGGUGGCGACCGGCGGACGGGUGCGUAACGCGUAUGCAACCUACCUUUAACAGGGGGAUAACGGAGAGAAAUUUCCACUAAUACCCCAUAACAUCGAUCAAGGCAUCUUGAUUGGUUGAAAACUCCGGUGGUUAAAGAUGGGCAUGCGUUGUAUUAGGUAGUUGGUGAGGUAAUGGCUCACCAAGCCUACGAUACAUAGGGGGACUGAGAGGUUAGCCCCCCACACUGGUACUGAGACACGGACCAGACUCCUACGGGAGGCAGCAGUGAGGAAUAUUGGUCAAUGGGGACAACCCUGAACCAGCCAUGCCGCGUGCAGGAAGACGGCUCUAUGAGUUGUAAACCGCUUUAAACAGGGAUAAAGCACAGUAUGUAUACUGUGUUGAAGGUACUGUAAGAAUAAGGAUCGGCUAACUCCGUGCCAGCCGCCGCGGUAA
rnacentral:rRNA from 1 species